rnacentral:misc_RNA from 1 species
UAUGAUAUUGAAUAAAAAAGGAUGCUACAAGACCCGAAACUUCUAAUACUCCAAUGGUUACAAGUUGAGAUUCCAACUUAGGUCUCAAGUUAAAGCCGCACUAGGAUGCAAAGGUUUUUAAGGAAGGGAAAAGCUAUUCCCAUUGUGUAGCCUAGCCAAUGGCAAAAAGAAAUAGUAACGACAGUUAAUAAAUUAUGUAGCAUCAUAGUGUGCAGCUUAUGAGUUGCCAACGAAUUCGCAAAUCCAACUGUGAAGAAACUUUUUAAAAUGAGUUAAAAAGGCAACUUUUUUUUUUAUCAAGUCAUUCUUGUACUGCUGGAAUGAAAAGAUAAAGCAGAAAACAAAGAAAGUUCUUAGCCAUUUUCACCAUAUUGCAUAGAGAUCACACACACACACACAAACUGUAUAUGCAGUCAUUUAUAUCUUGCAAGCGAAUCCAAUAUUUUU